AGGGAUAGCGUCUGGAAACGGACGGUAAUACCAUAUAAAGUAUAUUAACGGCAUCGUAGAUAUACCAAAGCUGAGGCGCCUAAGGAUGGACUCGCGUCUGAUUAGAUAGUUGGUGGGGUAACGGCCUACCAAGUCGACGAUCAGUAGCCGGACUGAGAGGUUGAACGGCCACAUUGGGACUGAGACACGGCCCAGACUCCUACGGGAGGCAGCAGUGGGGAAUAUUGCACAAUGGGCGAAAGCCUGAUGCAGCAACGCCGCGUGAAGGAAGACGGUUUUCGGAUUGUAAACUUCUGUUCUUAGUGAAGAAUAAUGACGGUAACUAAGGAGCAAGCCACGGCUAACUACGUGCCAGCAGCCGCGGUAAUACGUAGGUGGCAAGCGUUGUCCGGAAUUACUGGGUGUAAAGGGAGCGUAGGCGGGAAGCCAAGUCAGCUGUGAAAACUACGGGCUUAACCUGUAGACUGCAGUUGAAACUGGCUUUCUUGAGUGAAGUAGAGGUUGGCGGAAUUCCGAGUGUAGCGGUGAAAUGCGUAGAUAUUCGGAGGAACACCGGUGGCGAAGGCGGCCAACUGGGCUUUAACUGACGCUGAGGCUCGAAAGUGUGGGGAGCAAACAGGAUUAGAUACCCUGGUAGUCCACACUGUAAACGCUCAU
rnacentral:rRNA from 1 species